UCUCCGUUGGUGAACCAGCGGAGGGAUCAUUACAGGACUCGCAAGACUCCUACAACCCUGUGAACUUAACUAUAAGCACGUUGCUUCGGCGGGUGUCUCGGGGGGGGAUCUCCCUCCCCGAGACGCUAAACCCACCGGGAGCCUACUAUACUCUGUCUCUUUGCGUUGGCAUCUCGAGUACAAUCAAACAAGUUAAAACUUUCAACAACGGAUCUCUUGGUUCUG
rnacentral:misc_RNA from 1 species